rnacentral:rRNA from 1 species
GACGAACGCUGGCGACGCGCUUAACACAUGCAAGUCGAACGGAAAGGCCUGCUUUCCCUUGUGGAUUGCGGGUACUCGAGUGGCGAACGGGUGAGUAACACGUGAGUGAUCUGCCCCCAACUUGGGUAUAAGCCUGGGAAACUGGGUCUAAUUCCCGAUAGGACUGCAGGGUGGUGCCUGUGGUGGAAAACGAUUUUCUAGUGGUUGGGGAUGAGCUCGCGGCCUAUCAGCUUGUUGGUGGGGUAAUGGCCUACCAAGGCGGCGACGGGUAGCCGGCCUGGAGGGGUGGCCGGCCACGUUGGGCCUGAGAUCGGCCCCAGCCUCGUCGGGGGGGCAGAAGUGGGGAAUAUGGCCCAAUGGGGGAAGCCUGAUGCAGCGACGCCGCGUGGGGGAUGACGGCCUUCGGGUUGUAAACUCCUUUCGACCGCGAGGAAGCCACCUGGUUGGAAGGGUGGUGACGGUAGUGGUAGAAGAAGCACCGGCUAACUACGUG